UACGUAGGUGGCAAGCGUUGUCCGGAUUUAUUGGGUUUAAAGGGUGCGUAGGCGGUCUAUUAAGUCAGUGCUGAAAUAUCCCGGCUUAACCGGGAGGGUGGCAUUGAUACUGAUGGACUUGAGUGCAGUCGAGGUAGGCGGAAUUGACGGUGCAGCGGUGAAAUGCUUAGAUAUCGUCAAGAACACCGAUAGUGAAGACAGCUUACUAGACUGUAACUGACGCUGAGGCACGAAAGUGUGGGGAUCAAACAGG
rnacentral:rRNA from 1 species